GACGAACGCUGGCGGCGUGCCUAAUACAUGCAAGUAGAACGCUGAAGGCGGAGCUUGCUUCUCUGGUUGAGUUGCGAACGGGUGAGUAACGCGUAGGUAACCUGCCUGGUAGUGGGGGAUAACUAUUGGAAACGAUAGCUAAUACCGCAUAAUAGCAGCUGUUGCAUGAUAACUGUUUGAAAGGUGCAAUUGCACCGCUACCAGAUGGACCUGCGUUGUAUUAGCUAGUUGGUGGGGUAACGGCGCACCAAGGCGAGGAUACAUAGUCGACCUGAGAGGGUGGUCAGCCACACUGGGACGGUGACACGGCCCAGACUCCUACAGGAGGCAGCAGUAGGGAAUCUGCGGCAAUGGGCGGAAGUCUGACCGAGCAACGCCGCAGGAGUGAGGAGGGUUUUCGGAUCGUAAAGCUCUGUUUUAAGGGAAGAACGAGUGUGAGAGUGGGAAGAUCACACUGUGACGGUAACUUACCAGAAAGGGACGGCUAACUACGUG
rnacentral:rRNA from 1 species